GGAUGCGAUCAUACUAGCACUAAAGCACCGGAUCCCAUCAGAACUCUGAAGUUAAGCGUGCUUGGGCGAGUAGUACUAGGAUGGGUCAUGGGUGACCUCCUAGGAAGUCCUCGUGUUGCAUUCC
rnacentral:rRNA from 1 species